GGCUUAAUGGUUUAGUGGUAUAAUUCUCCCUAAGGGUGGGAGAAGUCCUGGUUUCUAUUCCCGGUUGAGCCC